rnacentral:rRNA from 1 species
UAAUUGGUGGCUAGUAUGAAUGGUUUAAUGAGAAUAAUACUGUCUCUUUUCUAAUCUAUUGAAACUACCUAUUAGGUGAAAAGGCCUAAAUAUUUUUAUAAGACAAUAAGACCCUAUCGAGCUUUAGGUUAAAAUCUAUUACAAAACAAAAUUAAAAAGAAAUUAUACCUUUAGUUGGGGCGACUAAGGAACAAACAAAGCUUCCUAAAAUAACUUAAUUAAAAAUCAUAAUCCGGAAAUAAUCCGACGAAAAAAGCUACCGUAGGGAUANCAGCGUAAUUUUCUUUGUGAGUUCUUAUUAAAAAGAAAGUUUGCGACCUCGAUGUUGGAUUAAGGUAUCUCAAAGACGCAGCAGUCUUUAAAAGU